rnacentral:rRNA from 1 species
UAGUAAUGCGUGACCAACCUGCCCCAUGCUCCAGAAUAGCUCUUGGAAACGGGUGGUAAUGCUGGAUGCUCCAACUUGACGCAUGUCUUGUUGGGAAAGUGUUUAGUGGCAUGGGAUGGGGUCGCGUCCUAUCAGCUUGUAGGCGGGGUAAUGGCCCACCUAGGCUUCGACGGGUAGCCGGCCUGAGAGGGCGGACGGCCACAUUGGGACUGAGAUACGGCCCAGACUCCUACGGGAGGCAGCAGUA